rnacentral:rRNA from 1 species
AGGAUAAACGCUGGCGGCGUGCAUGAGACAUGCAAGUCGAACGGACGAUCAGGGCUUGCUCUGAUCGUUAGUGGCGGACGGCUGAGUAACGCGUAGGUGACCUACCCGGAAGUGGGGAAUAACUGCCCGAAAGGGUGGCUAAUACCGCAUGUGGUCGGCGAUUCGAUUCGCCGUCUAAAGGAGCAAUUCGCUUCCGGAGGGGCCUGCGUCCGAUUAGCUAGUUGGUGGGGUAACGGCUCACCAAGGCGACGAUCGGUAGCUGGUCUGAGAGGAUGAUCAGCCAGACUGGGACUGAGAACGGCCCAGACUCCUACGGGAGGCAGCAGUCGGGAAUUUUGCCCAAUGGACGAAAGUCUGAGGCAGCAACUCCGCGUGAGGGAUGAAGGCUCUCGGGUCGUAAACCUCUUUUCUCAGGGAAGAUCCAAGACGGUACCUGAGGAAUAAGCGACGGCUAACUACGUGCCAGCAGCCGC